rnacentral:rRNA from 1 species
AAGGGAAUCUUCCGCAAUGGGCGAAAGCAUGACGGAGCAACGCCGCGUGAGAGAUGAAGGUCUUAGGAUCGUAAAACUCUGUUAUUAGGGAAGAACAAAUGUGUAAGUAACUAUGCACGUCUUGACGGUACCUAAUCAGAAAGCCACGGCAAACUACGUGCUAGCAGCCGCGGUAAUACGAAGGGGGCAAGCGUUAUCCGGCAUUAUUGGGCGUAAAGCGCGCGUAGGCGGUUUUUUAAGUCUGAUGUGAAAGCCCACGGCUCAACCGUGGAGGUGCAUUUGAAACUGGAAAACUUGAGUGCAGAAGAGGCGAGUGGAAUUCCAUGUGUAGCGGUGAAAUGCGCAGAGAUAUGGAGGAACACCAGUGGCGAAGGCGGCUUUCUGGUCUGUAACUGACGCUGAUGUGCGAAAGCGUGGGGAUCAAACAGG